rnacentral:rRNA from 1 species
AGCAGCCGCGGUAAUUCCAGCUCCAAUAGCGUAUAUUAAAGUUGUUGCAGUUAAAAAGCUCGUAGUUGAAUUUCGGGAUCAAUACGUCGGUCGUGCUUUCGGGUACGUACUGGCGUCAUUAGUUUCUCCUUUCUGACGAACCAUGAUGUCAUUAAUUUGGUGUUAUGGGGAGUUAGGACUGCUACUUUGAAAAAAUUUAGAGUGUUUAAAGCAGGCAUUAGCUUGAAUACAUUAGCAUGGAAUAAUGAAAUAGGACGUUCGAUCCUAUUUUGUUGGUUUCUAGGAUCAACGUAAUGAUUAAUAGGGAUAGUUGGGGGCAUUAGUAUUCGAUUGUCAGAGGUGAAAUUCUUGGAUUAUUGGAAGACUAACUACUGCGAAAGCAUUUGCCAAGGAUGUUUUCAUUAAUCAAGAACGAAAGUUAGGGGGAUCAAGACGAUCAGAUACCGUCGUAGUCUUAACCAUAAACUAUGCCGACUAGGGAUCGGAUGAUGUUAAUUUUUUUAAUGACUCAUUCGGCGCC